UUUUUAUUUUCAAACAAUCCACUUUAAAACUCUGCCGCUUACAAAAUAUUUGGAAGGGCUAGAUGUACAAGCUUCAGACUGAGGCUCCAGAGUUAACCCAGAAUAAUCAACAGAAAAUUUAGUUACUAGGUGACAUUAUCAGGCAGGUGGAACUUUGGGAGGCCAUAGCUAUUAGUGUUGACUGCAGGGAUUCCAUCACUUCUAUGAGAUAUAGCUACCUCCAUAAAAUCUAUUUUGUGACAUUCGUGAUGAAUCACGACCCUACUAUGAACACUGCUAUUAUUGCCAGAAGCAACAGUCAAAACAACAGAAAUGUGGAUUCUGACUUAUUUCUGCAUUCCACAUCAUACAGGAGGGCAUCUGAUUGACACAAGGAUCAGGUCCCCAAGCUAACUUCUGGAGGAAAUCUGAAUGCCUAGAGAGAAUGUUAACUGUCACUGACAUCUGAAAAUACUUUGAGGAGGAGUUGAUAUUUAAGCGAAUCAUGGAAAAAAAAUUUCUAAAGUUUGGCUGCUGUGUGAGGAGUAAGUUCUUCCCAGAGAAAGGAAGCCACUCGAGAAAAGACUGUGUGAAAUACAAGACAUUUUGAGAAGAAAGAAUGACAUGUUGGAGCCUAGGUGAUUUGAUGUUCCUUUUCACUGUCUUUGAGAAAUGAUAAAUGAUGAUUCCAGUGGCAGUAGUACACAUGUGAUUAUGUGUGUGAAUCUGUGUCAUACUAGCUGAGCGUGUACUUGAUCCUACAUAUAGCCAUUUAUACUUCAUUUCAUGUACAGAUGAAAUAACAAGGCAGCCUACAUUCCUACAGAUACAUGAAUUCCUCUAGCAUUUCCCUACCUGAAUAGGUGGUGUAUA
rnacentral:lncRNA from 1 species